CCUCAGGUGGAAGAAUCUCAGAUAUUCAGAAAGGGACUCCCUGUCCACUAGACAGCUGGUUAACUGUUUUAUAGAUGGCUUGCAUCACCCACUCAGCACAGCCCUUAAAAUAGCUAGACCUGAGUGGCAUAGCCUAACUUAUUCUGACUUUGUAAAAGGUGCUAAAGGUAUUGAAGCCAACCACCAUCCAUCUAGACAUAAAACAGCAGGUGCCACUAGACUAAUGGUAAAUCAGACGUCUAGGAGCCCCCACCGUUCAAAUCAGAGCCAGCGUACUGGGGUCCUGUAUACUGGAAUUGCAAUACAAUAGGACACAUCAG